CGGGGUGUGGCGCAGUUGGUAGCGCGCGACGUUUGGGACGUUGAGGUCGUAGGUUCGAAUCCUAUCACCCCGACCA
rnacentral:tRNA from 1 species